AACUUUCAACAAUGGAUCACUUGGUUCUGGCAACGAUGAAGAACGUAGCGAAAUGCGAUAAGUAAUGUGAAUUGCAGAAUUCAGUGAAUCAUCGAAUCUUUGAACGCACAUUGCGCCCCCUGGUAUUCCGGGCGGCACACCUGUUCGAGCGCCAUUUUCACCAUCGACCCCUGCUCGGAGUUGGGCAUCGUCCUCGCGGACCGGCCCGAAACCGGUGGGCGCCUCCGUCCGGCCCUGAGCGUAGCAAGAGUAAUCCCUCGCUCGGUGGACCGUCCGGCGGCUGCCCCGACCAUUUUUUACAAGGUUGGCCUCGGAUCAGGUGGGGAUACCCGCUGAACUUAAGCAUAUCAAUAAGCGGAGGCU
rnacentral:misc_RNA from 1 species